AGAGGUUAUCCGUGUUAUGUUCGCUUCAUUCAUCAUGAAUAAUACAUGGUUAACCUCUUU
rnacentral:ncRNA from 3 species